rnacentral:rRNA from 1 species
UACGGAGGGUGCGAGCGUUGUUCGGAAUCACUGGGCGUAAAGCGCGUGUAGGCGGCUCCCUAAGUCUGUUGUGAAAGCCCGGGGCUUACCCCCGGAAGGGCAGUGGAAACUGGGGAGCUGGAGUACCGGAGAGGAGGGUGGAAUUCCUGGUGUAGCGGUGAAAUGCGUAGAUAUCAGGAGGAACACCGGUGGCGAAGGCGGCCCUCUGGACGGAUACUGACGCUGAGACGCGAAAGCGUGGGGAGCAAACAGG